UACAGAGGGGGCUAGCGUUGUUCGGAAUUACUGGGCGUAAAGGGCGCGUAGGUGGCCUGUUAAGUCGAACGUGAAAUCCCCGGGCUCAACCCGGGAACUGCGUCCGAGACUGGCAGGCUCGAAUCCGGGAGAGGGAUGUGGAAUUCCAGGUGUAGCGGUGAAAUGCGUUGAUAUCCACAGGAACUCCGGUGGCGAAGGCGGCACGCUGGACCUUUUCUGACGCUGAGGCGCGAAAGCGUGGGGAGCAAACAGG
rnacentral:rRNA from 1 species